GGGUCAGUAGGCUGGUCGUGCCACCGGUACGUACUGGUCUCACUGAUUCCUCCUUCCUGAAGAACCGUAAUGCCAUUAAUUUGGUGUUGCGGGGAAACAGGACUGUUACUUUGAAAAAAUUAGAGUGUUUAAAGCAAGCUAACGCUUGAAUACGUUAGCACGGAAUAAUGAAAUAGGACGAUCGAUCCUAUUUUGCUGGUUUCUAGGAUUGACGUA
rnacentral:rRNA from 1 species